AUUGAACGCUGGCGGCAUGCUUUACACAUGCAAGUCGAACGGUAACAGGUUAAGCUGACGAGUGGCGAACGGGUGAGUAAUGCAUCGGAACGUGCCCGGUCGUGGGGGAUAACGCAGCGAAAGUUGCGCUAAUACCGCAUACGGUCUGAGGAUGAAAGCGGGGGACCGUAAGGCCUCGCGCGAUCGGAGCGGCCGAUGUCAGAUUAGGUAGUUGGUGGGGUAAAGGCUCACCAAGCCAACGAUCUGUAGCUGGUCUGAGAGGACGACCAGCCACACUGGGACUGAGACACGGCCCAGACUCCUACGGGAGGCAGCAGUGGGGAAUUUUGGACAAUGGGCGAAAGCCUGAUCCAGCAAUGCCGCGUGUAGGAAGAAGGCCUUCGGGUUGUAAACUGCUUUUGUACGGAGCGAAAAGGUCUCCUCUAAUACAGGGGGCUCAUGACGGUACCGUAAGAAUAAGCACCGGCUAACUACGUGCCAGCCGCCGCGGUAA
rnacentral:rRNA from 1 species